rnacentral:lncRNA from 1 species
GUACAAUUAAGUCAGGCCUAACUCACUCUCUAUCCUGAAUAGCUUUUUUUUUUUCCCCUGGAUUCCUGAUUGCUUUGCUUAUUUUCAGAUUUAGUGACUCAAUUCAACUUUUAAAGUCCCAGUUAAAGUUUAGUGCUGGGGCACAGAUAAAAUUCUGAAAAAAGCUACUCUACUAAUAACAGGCAAGUAUUAACAGCUAGCUGAUCCUGCUUUUAAAUACACCUGCCCUGUGUUACUGAUACUCACUCAGUCUGUCAUGGAAGAGCAGCCUGCAGCUCGCUUGCAGUCCAGUCAUGCCGUCCCUGUUACAAUAAAUCUUUACUCCCAAAGCCGCCAGAAUUCUACCGCCACGUGGGUGGUCUCUGCCAGCUUCCCGAGUUGUGCCCCCCGAGUGGAUGGACAAAAUAAUACAGAGACAUUAUAAAAGGAACAUGGAUGAAGAGCUGCUUGAAGGAGUAUGGGCAGCUAAGAUCUCCUCAUCUUCAUGAUUAUUAUCUUCUCACUUCUUUGGAGCAGGAAGAUCAUGAGAAACCUUCUCUACAGUUUCAUACUAUGCCUGAUGUGUACCACUCUCCUCCCCCAGUGGAAAGGAGGAUGGACAAGACAAUGAACAUGUAUUGUUAUCUCCCCAGGAAUGUAACUUCUCAGCCACUGCUCCAGAACUAUGCCUGCCUGCCUGCCUGCCUUCUGCCUGCUUCCAUGUUCCCCACCAUGAUGGGCAUGGACUCUAAUCCUCAAAGAAAAGCUGAACAAACUGAAAAAUCAAUGGCUUUUCUUGGACUCAUCAGAAAACUGAGAUCUCAGGGCAAACUGCUUCCUUGGUAUCUGGAGAGACAGGAGAAUACAGAGGAUGACAGCUGAGACCAGCCUAAGUGGGACAGAGGCACCUGGUGAUAGG